ACAAGCGUGGUGUAGUGGUUAGAACAUUGGACUACGACUCUGGAGACCAGGGUUCGAAUCCCGGCUCGGGCA